rnacentral:rRNA from 1 species
GAAUAUUGGACAAUGGGCGGAAGCCUGAUCCAGCCAUGCCGCGUGUGUGAAGAAGGCCUUUUGGUUGUAAAGCACUUUAAGCGAGGAGGAGGAGCUCUUGGUUAAUACCCAAGAUGCUUGGACGUUACUCGCAGAAUAAGCACCGGCUAACUACGUGCCAGCCGCCGCGGUAAUACGUAGGGUGCAAGCGUUAAUCGGAAUUACUGGGCGUAAAGCGUGCGCAGGCGGUUUGGCAAGAAGGAUGUGAAAUCCCAGGGCUUAACCUUGGAACUGCAUUCUUAACUGCCAGGCUAGAGUAUGUCAGAGGGGGGUAGAAUUCCACGUGUAGCAGUGAAAUGCGUAGAGAUGUGGAGGAAUACCGAUGGCGAAGGCAGCCCCCUGGGAUAAUACUGACGCUCAUGCACGAAAGCGUGGGGAGCAAACC